rnacentral:lncRNA from 1 species
UUAAAUCGUCUUUAAUUCACCAAUAAUGGAGUUUCAAUAGGAUGUAGUCUUGAAGAAUCUAUGUAAGAAGCUUCGUUUGCGUCUUUACGCCUUCCUUUCUAAUCCUUUGAAACGUUAAUGGUUAUUUAUUCAUGGUUGUCUAAUCUAUGCAAGUUGGUCUCUCAGCACCUAUAAAAGGUAAGCCAUCUUUCCUUGAACAUCAUCCUCUCAAUCCGUGAUAACACCAAAGUUAAUUCAUUAUGUGAGUGGCUAACUCAUCAAUCCUCUGCUUUAAUGGAUUCUCUAGCUGCGACACAAGAAGUUACGAUGAACGGAGUCCUCAUCGGUUUGAAUCAGCCCUAGGGACGACAGAGUCGCGGAGAUCUUCGAUUCCGUACCUCUCAUUCCUCCUCUCGAGAUCUCUCGCUCAUCAUGGUCACUCUCUCUUCUUCUUCUUAUGAUUUUAAUAGGCUUUGAAAUUGAACUUUGAUAUUGGAUUACGGAUUGUGGAGUUUUUGUUUGUCUACGAAAUGAAAUUGUAUUCUUGACCUUCUGAAUAUUGCUUGAUUGUCUGUAAAUCUUAUUGUUUUGUCUAUUCUAACAUAAAAAAAAUUAGGUCUUGGAUUGUUUUGGUUUAACCACAAGCGCAACAUUUUUACUAGAUCUUUUUGAGAGAAAUUUAGUGUUUGCAUCCAUAUGUGUUUUUGAUGCCAAAAAGAUAAUUUUUGUUUACUUAUGUGUUUUUUAUGCCAAAAUAUAGUUUUCUGUCGUUUGUCUGUGUUUAGUUAGAGGAGCAUUACGUGGCUAUGUGAGGAGAUGGAGUUGAGAUGAGGAUGCUAGCUCUUACAGCUUUGGAUGUUCUACGGUUCGUCAGAUUUUUACAAUUGAUACAGGUUUUUGUGUUUUGAGUGAACUUUUGACGCUGAGGAUAUGCAAGAGUUCAAUGUCUAGCAUGCAGGACAACAGAUGACUAAUUGCAAUAAGCUGGCUAGACUUGAUGGAGUUCCAUACCGUGAUUUCACUGGAUAGGUCUUUGGUUUUUUUUUUUUUGGAAAAGAAAAAAAAUGUAGUUUGCAUUUUAGGGGUUAACAUGUUAAACUCAAGCAUCUUUCUUAGUUGUUGUUUGUCUUGCGCUGUUGGCAGGAGAGGAUUUGACUAUUCUCUAUGGGUUCGAAUGUAAGGAUAAUGUUUGAGACCAACACACAAAACCCACCGGGUCAUAUAAACGAACAGUGUCACUUACCAAAUAACCAAAAUUUUAGCAAAACACCCUUACAAAGCUGCAGCGCAAUAUAGCGUCCCAAUAAAAGCCACCCUCAAGAACUGCAUACUAACCUCCCUGCAACCCACGUUAGUCAGGAUAGUUGUUUGCUUG